rnacentral:lncRNA from 1 species
AUUUUUUCACACUUACACAAAUGCAGAAAUUCAGAUGCCCUGUCCAUCUUCUAAGCAGACUGGAGAGCUGAACUGGGCCAUUCUGUCCUUAAAAAUGGGAACCGUGAUUACUAUUUUCAAAGUUAAAAUUCAGUGCAAGAACAGGAAGAUUUAAUGAACAAUAAUAAUACAGUUUACAAAGAAAUUCUGGCUAAUCUAGUGAUUUUAGUUUUGUGGUAGUUGUAUUUGAUAUAUUUCUCAAAAGGUUAAUUGGCUGUAGUCCUGUGAAUGCACCAAAACAUCAUUUGUUAGGAAAAAAAAAAAGUCUUUUCCUGUAAGAUACUUCUGCUUAGAAAUAGGAAAUCUUCAGAACCAAAUGGCAAAUAAAAAUAUAUCAGCACUUUUUUUCCCAGCACCUCAUGAUUCUUGAAGAAAUGCCUUGAUUUUAGGCGCUUGACUUAUGAAUUUUGAAGGCCUGGCAUGAGCGGCAUAGUUAAAUACUGUUCCCCCUCCUCCACCAGAGAAGUGUAAGUCCAAGACCUUGGAAUGAAAAAGCAAAACCCAGAAACUUCUAUAAAUUUUGGCAAAAUACAUCAAGCUGCCUUUUUCAGCAGCACGAAGAGGGGAGGAGCACAGGCCAACGCCACUCUCCUUUGUUUCUCCCUUGUGAUGUGCGUUACUGUGGAUUAAACUCACAUUUUAGGAUCCCAAACCAGGGACAAUUCAGCUACCUCUCACUGUAGAUGUGUGCCUUAGAACUGAAAGAAGCAGGAGGCUUGCUUUGUGUACUUAUCUCCUGAAACCUAUGGACACAGCAGUGUCUGUUUUCAAUGGCAGUGGAAAUUCCAGUAUCAGAAGCUUAACUACAAAUCCCAUACUACAUCGUUCGAAUGCUGCCUGUUUUCAGUACAACCUAAUGAUGGCCCAGGAGUGAUAAAGCACAGGUUCUCUGUAGGUACAGAAGCAGAAUUC